rnacentral:rRNA from 1 species
AGCAGUCGCCACGGUAAUAUGGAGGGGGCUAGCGUUGUUCGGAAUUACUGGGCGUAAAGCGUACGUAGGCGGCUUUGUAAGUUAGAGGUGAAAGCCUGGUGCUCAACACCAGAACUGCCUUUAAGACUGCAUCGCUUGAACGUCGGAGAGGUGAGUGGAAUUCCGAGUGUAGAGGUGAAAUUCGUAGAUAUUCGGAAGAACACCAGUGGCGAAGGCGGCUCACUGGACGACUGUUGACGCUGAGGUACGAAAGCGUGGGGAGCAAACAGGAUUAGAUACCCCCGUAGUCCCUGUCUCUUAUAC